AGGUCAGCGAACGGCCGGGGCCAUACCUCUGAGGUGCCUGUGUGUUGGUGUUGCCUAGGGCAGCCCUGGAGGGGCUGGCCUCCCGCUCACAGGCGUGCUUAUCACGUAAGUGGGUGCUGUUUCCUGGCAGCUGAGGGUAAUUAUGGGGCUGCGUGCUGGAGGACGGGUCUGCGCAUGUGUCUCUCUCAGGGCUGGUGGCCCCGGCUGGGGCAGCCGAGUAAGGAGCGGUGCCGUCAGCUGCUCACUGAGACGUGAAGCGCUGGGACUCGGGGCAGGGCUGCAGCCGGACGCCUGGGAGGAAAAUGCCAAGUGUGUUUGAGGAGACAUUUCCCCCUCGCAGGGCCAGCGGGCCAAUGCCAUUUGUGGGCGGUCCUGGCAACAGUGAGUUCUAGUCUCCAGCCAUAUGCUCUGUCCCCAGAUCCCAGCGUCCUGGUGGCCCCUGUUCCUGCCCUUGUCCCUUUUGCUUUGUUCUCUCUCCCCAGUCCCACUGCACUUCGCUUUAUCCUUCUUGCUCUGCCUCCACUCACCAGCUCCGGCCUCCUCCUGUCCAGGGACUCUCCUAGGCUGCUCCUAUAUGCCUCAUUCCAGUCCUCCUGUUUCAUUUCUGGGACAGCCCCAAUAGUGAGUUGACUUGUCCCCCUAAAUUCACGUCCACCUAGAACCCCAGAAUGGGACCUUGUUUAGAAAUAGGCUCUUUGCAGAUGUAAUGAAGUCAAUAUGAGGUGGCUAGGGUGGCCCAAAUCCAGCACUGCUGUGUCCUUAUGAAAAGAAGGGAAUCUGAACUCAGAGACAAGGACACACAGGGACGACAUUGCAGUGUUGCAGCUGGAAGCCAAGGACUCUGAGGACCGGGCAGCCACCAGGAGCUGGAAGAGGCAGGAAGGAUGGUCCUCUUGACCUUCAGAGGGAGUGCAGCCUUGCCGACACCUGGAUUUUGGACAUCCAGUACCCAGAACUGUGAGAAGCGGUUUCUGCCGUUUAAGCACCCCUGGGAGUGAUGCUUUGUUACAGCAGCCCCAGGACGCUUACCCAGGCCUCUUUGCUCAGCUGGACCCCAGAACAGGAGGAGAAACCACAGCUGACCCCGCGUUGGGGGUGCCUCCAAGCUGCAACAGGCCACCCCUGCAAUCCAGUUCUGCCUGCAAAAGCCCCAGCUCACGCACGUUUUCUGGGAUGAUAGUCUUCAGUAUUCCAAGGGAUUUCUUUGAGCGCGCCAGACUCCAAGUCCCAGCCUCACACUUGACAAGGGAUGCAAUCAACAGUUGACUGUCGACAGCAUUUUCAGAUCAGUCGGGCACAGAGGGGGCGGUGGACAAGAGCAGGCAGACAAGAGCAGGUUACUGCAACAGUCCAGACUCAGGCCAUCGCCGCCUGAAUCAGGUGAUGAAUUCCAGGACAGUGGAGCUGGGUCACUCUGCAGAAAGCAGAGGAAAGGGGAGAAGUCCCGCGGCAGCUCUCCUGGGAGGCCUGAGGAAGGAUAGCCAAUGCAGAGAUGGAUGCAGGUUGGGAAAGCAGCAGAGCCAAAAGGAAGACAGGUCAGCAGCAGCAGCAGCCAGAAGAUGGAUGGAGUGACAGCCGUGGACACGCACACGCGCACACGUGCAGACAGCCGGCAAGCUAGACCAUUGACCACGUCUGGGCAGAGAAAGCGAGCGCGGGGCUGCAGCGG